UCCGAUAUGGUGUAGUGGCCAACAUGAUGCCCUCUCAUCUCCUCGAGAGAUUAGGCAUAGCCCCGAGUUCGAUUCUCGGUUUCGGAA
rnacentral:tRNA from 1 species